GCGAGCCAGAGUCUAGUGAGUGAGACUGUCCCUGGCUAUAAUACUGGUUUUAGCCCUCUCACUGGUCAGAGGUGAAGUUGUUAUUUACAACUUUAAAAAGAGAUACAACAAAUGUUCACUUGUGAUCUCCCUAGUUGGCAAGUUUAAAUAUUGCUUAUAGAUAGAUAGAUAGAUAGAUAGAUAGACAGAUAGAUAGAAAUCUUAAUUCAGUAACUCCCUAAAAUUGUUAGGAGGGGCAAUACCCUUUAAAUGAAAGGGAAACUGAAAGUAAAUAGAAGACCAACAAAGAAUUAAUCCUAAUAAAACAGGGAGAGUAAAUUGUGGACAGAUGAUGGACUUUGAGAAAGCCCCCAAAAGAAAGCUUAGCCGAGAAAAAUUUAAACUGAAAACUCGUAGAAAUACCAAAAUGAAGAUUUUAAAGAGAAUCAAGAAAAGCAGAUACACCUGAUGACUAGAAAAGACAAAUGAAGGAAUGUGAGGGGCGAAAUCAAGUUUAUUUACCUUUCGACCAACUAGUCUUUGGAUGUAAAAAGGAACAAAGGAAAGGGUGGGUGGAUAUGAAGUCUGCUUCAAGCAGAGUGAAGAAUAAUUGCAGAAAAUAGAAGGCUUUUCUUUUAAAAGGCAACUGGAGAAGCCAUUUCAUAAAAAGAAGGCUGGUGUUUCUGUUGCCGAAGUUAUUAUUAUUAUUAUCAUCAUUAUUUAUUUAUUUUAUAUAGCGCCCUAUACCCGAAGGUCUGAGGGCAGUUCACAUAAAAUAUCCAAUACACAAAAUCAAAACAAAAACAACAACCCAAGAACGGGUUCCCAGAGCAUAGACAACAGGAGUCAGGCUAUCCCUGGUCCAGAUAGGGGCAUAGCUGGGUCACCAGCCGAAGCUGAUGGAAGGCUCACCGGGUCACUGUCUCUCGACAGAGGUACAGGGCGACCAAAGCAGUUUCAGUGCCAAAAGCAGGCCUAAACCCUGAUGGAAAAGAAUCCACAAAACCAGCUUCUUCCAAGAGCACCUGGAUCUGGUCUGCGACCACUCGCUCCAGCCUCACUCCAGAAGUAAGAAAAACCAAGAUUGGGAAGAUUUUAACACAGGUAAGACUUAGAAGUGAGAAGGGUAGGGGGAUCCAGGGGGAAAGAAAGCUGUGCAUGUGAGAAAGAGCAAAGCAGAGGGGCAGAAGACAACAUAGCUCCUUUUAAUUUCAUUUUAGCUCAGGUUGCCUUGUUGACAAAAAUGCAUUGCAUUGCAUUUGUGAUAGCUUCUUGGGGGCUAUAGAAAAGCUGCUUCGCUAAUGGGCAGAACUUCAUUUAUUCAUAAUGUGUCUUCCAAGGAGUAGAAUAACAAACCCUCUUGAACAGCUGGCUUAAAAGUGGUGGCAUUUGGCAUAUGAAGCUAAGAAGAGGCA